AUGGGUCUGAAAUCAGUAAUUUGGAGGGGUGUUGGAAGUAAUUUGCUUAGGCCCAACAGAAGUGGUAUGCCUGAUCCUGUGUGGGAGACUCUGGAGAGAGCACGGGAGCUUCGCUGGAGAAGAAGGGUCUGCCGCGCCAAAAAUCGCCUUGUGGUGGCGGAAACGAUAUUUAAGGGGGGUUUCAUAAACCCUAGGUGCUCAGGCGAUGAAAAUCAGUGA